ensembl:lncRNA uncharacterized LOC114869336
CAAUGACGUGACAGGCGGAUUCCACUUCUGAUCACAAAAGAAGAACUAGCUGUUUCAAGAGCUGUGAGAUAUUUUCCGGGACUGCUCAUUAGGUUAGUGGUUUGUGUACUUCCGCAUCUGGGACUAGGCUACGAGGAUCGCCACAUGUUGUCAUGAGCGGAGGCAAGAGUCACGUGACAAACGCGGAAAUAGAUUCAAAAACAAAAUUCACGACGUACAGUAAUCAGAUACUAAGUAGUCUGGUGUUCUCUCACGCGGAUUCAUGAACUAUGAUCAGACUUUCAUAACAAAUCAGAUUUAACAAAUAAAUUAUUUUGUUUUUUCUUAAAUGGUCUUGACUCUUUAUACCAGACUGUGUGAACGCGUUGAGUAAAUCUCUUCAUUAGACGAACCUGUUUUACUGGCAUUGAGAAUAAUGUUUAUUUAUGUAUUAAUUUUAAUUUUAAUACACAAAGAAGCUAACGUUUUUAAUAAUGGAGAUGGUGCUUUUUCACAGUAGUAAUAUUAGUGGUUUUUUGUCUUUAUUGACCUGAAAGUAUAAGAUGUAGAGUCCUUCUGAAGACAUGAGACCGGGUUUUAUACCUUUAACCACACAUCAAAUAAAUCCUGAACUUUCAACAUUUGGCAGGCGAAAGUGAAUUUGUUUUUAUAAUGUAAACAGACUUUCAGAUCUUCUGUCGUGAUUCUGCAGACAAGAGACAAGUAAAAUGACAUGAGGAACAAUUUAGGAAAAUUUGUUAAACCAAACUAGGCGUUGGACAAUUGAAGAAUUAUUAAUAAACCUAUUUAGGAUUUUUAUUUCUAUACUUAGUGGACAGGACAUGCUGAUAACGUCAUUCUCGCGAGGGCAAAUAAACACAGUGGGUCAGAAGCACAGAUAACAAGCAAAGCUGUUUCAUGCGCACGUACACACACACACACAUACACAGCCAUGAUCCUGGUGGGUCAGAGUCUGUGCAUUCCCUCUCCAUCCACUGUUCAGGAAUUGUUCUCCGUGGCUCGAGAUGCCAACAUCAUACCUGAUAUUUCCUUGGAUCCGGUCCUCACCACCUUCCUCUCGCUGGACUCCUCUGCAGCUCUGCAGCAUCAGUAUGCUUUCUUACAGCGGAGCAUGAGCAGCGAGCAGCAGGAUAAAUUCAGCUUCAAUCUGACUGAAGAGCUGGGAGGCAGCAGUGUCACCUAUGGAGGGGUCGGGGUUAUUGCUCUGGCUUUGUCUGUGCUGUUCGAUCAGGUCGCUCAACAGGUUCGGGCGCAAGGAUCAGCGCAGGUUUGGCUUUCAACCCACAGAUCCCAGCCUAAAAAGAUGUUUGGCAUCAGCACUUCCUCUAGAAUUGGGUGGAUCAUUAUGAGCUACCUCCAGGUAAUCCCUGGCAUUGCCAACGAUGAGGAGAAAAUGGCUGAGACCACAGAGCUCUAUGACCAGUGGCUGAAACUCGAGCUUCUUGACCAUUACGAGAGAAUGACCACGAAGAAGAGAAUGAGUUCGGUGGCCAUGCAGCAGUGGCUGGCCGGAGCUGCAAUUCAUCUGCACAUGAGAAUCCAUCAGGUCCGGUUGCAUUCAGUGCCACCAGGAUCUGUUGAGUCAUUGCGUCUCUCUUAUAAAAGCGGGUUAAAUCGGCUGGUUCAGGGCUACAAAGCCUAUCUACGCAAACACAUUAGGGAAACUGAAGCUCCAGGUCCAAAUAAGGCCAAGACCAGCACAGCCGGUGGACUAAUAAGACAAACAAACACAUCUAGGAUCAGCAAUCCCAUGAGCUACCACCCUUUUAACAUUAGCCUGCUUAGUUCUAAGAACUCAACUGAGAGAUAUAAUGAGACCCCUGCACCCAAUUCAGCUGCUGAAAUUUGUUGUAAAGGUUUGAUCAACAGAAACACACUCAACAAUUCAACGAGGAAUAGCACAGAGGAGGAAGCUGGGGCACUGGGUCUGUUAAUCAUUGAGCCAUGGAGCAAUGUGAGUCACAGUGUGCAGCAUCGUCCCUGUGAGUCUCCAGCCAUACAGCAAGCUCUGGUGGCCCGGAUUAUAAAUUCUCAGGACCUGGAUCAGAGCAGAAAGUUUUUCCUGUACCCUGAGAGAGUCUUCCACAGCCUGCUCAGACAGAGGGAUGACUUUGAGUUGAAAAGGAAUUAGACUGACAUGAAUAGUAUGCAAAUAAAUCUUUUUAAACUUUAUUUGUAUCGAUUUUU